GGCCCUGUAGUGCAGCGGUAGCAUACCUGACACAUGCUCAGGAGACCUGCGUUCGAAUCGCAGCGGGGCCG
rnacentral:tRNA from 1 species